UACGUAGGGUGCAAGCGUUGUCCGGAAUUAUUGGGCGUAAAGAGCUCGUAGGCGGUUUGUCGCGUCGGCUGUGAAAACCCGGAGCUCAACUCCGGGCCUGCAGUCGAUACGGGCAGACUCGAGUGUUGCAGGGGAGACUGGAAUUCCUGGUGUAGCGGUGAAAUGUGCAGAUAUCAGGAGGAACACCGGUGGCGAAGGCGGGUCUCUGGGCAACAACUGACGCUGAGGAGCGAAAGCGUGGGGAGCGAACAGG
rnacentral:rRNA from 1 species